rnacentral:rRNA from 1 species
GCAAGUCGAGCGACAGAUAAGGAGCUUGCUCCUUUGAAGUUAGCGGCGGACGGGUGAGUAACACGUGGGUAACCUACCUAUAAGACUGGGAUAACUUCGGGAAACCGGAGCUAAUACCGGAUAACAUUUAGAACCGCAUGGUUCUAAAGUGAAAGAUGGUUUUGCUAUCACUUAUAGAUGGACCCGCGCCGUAUUAGCUAGUUGGUAAGGUAACGGCUUACCAAGGCGACGAUACGUAGCCGACCUGAGAGGGUGAUCGGCCACACUGGAACUGAGACACGGUCCAGACUCCUACGGGAGGCAGCAGUAGGGAAUCUUCCGCAAUGGGCGAAAGCCUGACGGAGCAACGCCGCGUGAGUGAUGAAGGGUUUCGGCUCGUAAAACUCUGUUAUUAGGGAAGAACAAAUGUGUAAGUAACUGUGCACAUCUUGACGGUACCUAAUCAGAAAGCCACGGCUAACUACGUGCCAGCAGCCGCGGUAAUACGUAGGUGGCAAGCGUUAUCCGGAAUUAUUGGGCGUAAAGCGCGCGUAGGCGGUUUCUUAAGUCUGAUGUGAAAGCCCACGGCUCAACCGUGGAGGGUCAUUGGAAACUGGGAAACUUGAGUGCAGAAGAGGAAAGUGGAAUUCCAUGUGUAGCGGUGAAAUGCGCAGAGAUAUGGAGGAACACCAGUGGCGAAGGCGACUUUCUGGUCUGUAACUGACGCUGAUGUGCGAAAGCGUGGGGAUCAAACAGGAUUAGAUACCCUGGUAGUCCACGCCGUAAACGAUGAGUGCUAAGUGUUAGGGGGUUUCCGCCCCUUAGUGCUGCAGCUAACGCAUUAAGCACUCCGCCUGGGGAGUACGACCGCAAGGUUGAAACUCAAAGGAAUUGACGGGGACCCGCACAAGCGGUGGAGCAUGUGGUUUAAUUCGAAGCAACGCGAAGAACCUUACCAAAUCUUGACAUCCUUUGAAAACUCUAGAGAUAGAGCCUUCCCCUUCGGGGGACAAAGUGACAGGUGGUGCAUGGUUGUCGUCAGCUCGUGUCGUGAGAUGUUGGGUUAAGUCCCGCAACGAGCGCAACCCUUAAGCUUAGUUGCCAUCAUUAAGUUG